GCCAGCGAAGCUUAGUGGUUUGAAUGUUGGACUUCAGCUCUAGAGACCAGGGUUCGAUUUCCAGCUUGGUCA